rnacentral:rRNA from 1 species
AGCGCAGACGGCACUGCAAGUCUGAAGUGAAAGCCCGGGGCUCAACCCCGGGACUGCUUUGGAAACUGUAGAGCUAGAGUGCUGGAGAGGCAAGCGGAAUUCCUAGUGUAGCGGUGAAAUGCGUAGAUAUUAGGAAGAACACCAGUGGCGAAGGCGGCUUGCUGGACAGUAACUGACGUUCAGGCUCGAAAGGCGUGGGAGCAAACA